rnacentral:lncRNA from 1 species
AAUAUCAGAGUUAGAUGUAGAAGGAGAAUUAUAACCAUGGGCACUGGCAGAGUAAGCAUUAUUCACACAACCAAAAUAGGUAGACAUGUAGAAGAAAGGGGGAAAAGAAGAAUGCAAUGAAAAUAUGCAACUAAAGUUAUCUACAUGCAACACACAUGACAUAACACACAAAACAGAACAACACACUCACAACACGAGACAAAACACAACACACACAAAAAACCUAAGACUGAACCGUUGGUCCCCGGCAACGACUUCAAAAUUUGAUGGGUGUCGCAGCCCAUACAAAUUUAAUUGCAUAUAAGAAUGCAAUAUAACUAGGAAGUGACUCCUAGGUCGUCUCUCAAGGACCAAAUGCGGUUCGAGUCUUAGGUGUAGCACGUAGUGGGGGGGUUUAAAAGUGUUCUUGCAAGGAAAAUAAAAUUAAAGUAAAACUAGAAAUUAAAUACAACCAAACAUAAUUGAAAACAUUAAAAUAACUGAACAAAGCAGGAACACCGAACGAUCCUACAUUUGACCGAACGGUUCUACAUUGAAACUAAACGGUCUCUAAAACAAGAUUAGUAAACUAAUUAAAAUGCAGCAGAUAAUAAAGAAACAUUUGGCAUGUUAUCCUGACACAGUACUUAAGCUAAAGAAAUCAAAUGCUAUUCAUCACGGAAUCAAUACUUAAAAAGAAAACUCUUACAGUAAAGCAAGAUAAAUGAGCUACGUGCUUCCAUUAAUGCAUUAAAAUUAUCCGUGAAAGCUUUUAAAGUUAAAUCAAGUAAAACACCAUAAAACAAAACUAAAACAAACAACAAAUUAAAAAUAACACAUGACAUUGAAAAUAAAAUUU